UGGGGAAUAUUGGACAAUGGGGGCAACCCUGAUCCAGCCAUGCCGCGUGAGUGAUGAAGGCCUUCGGGUUGUAAAGCUCUUUUGGCGGGGACGAUGAUGACGGUACCCGCAGAAUAAGCCCCGGCUAACUUCGUGCCAGCAGCCGCGGUAAGACGAAGGGGGCUAGCGUUGUUCGGAAUUACUGGGCGUAAAGCGAGUGUAGGCGGUUGCCGUAGUCAGGUGUGAAAGCCUUGAGCUCAACUCAAGAAAUGCACUUGAUACUGGGUGACUAGAGGACCGGAGAGGAUAGUGGAAUUCCCAGUGUAGUGGUGAAAUACGUAGAGAUUGGGAAGAACACCAGUGGCGAAGGCGGCUAUCUGGACGGUUACUGACGCUAAGACUCGAAAGCGUGGGGAGCAAACAGGAUUAGAUACCCUGGUAGUCCACGCCGUAAACGAUGGGUGCUAGACGUUGGCGAGCUUGCUCGUCAGUGUCGCAGCUAACGCGUU
rnacentral:rRNA from 1 species